rnacentral:rRNA from 1 species
GACGAACGCUGGCGGCGUGCUUAACACAUGCAAGUCGAACGAUGAAGAAGAGAAACGCGAACUUCGGUUCAAAUUUCACUUCGGAUUAGUGGCAGACGGGUGAGUAACGCGUGAGCAACCUACCUCUUACAAAGGGAUAGCCUCGGGAAACCGUGAUUAAUACCAUAUGACACAUUCAUAAGGCAUCUUAAGAAUGUUAAAGCUACGGCGGUAAGAGAUGGGCUCGCGUCCCAUUAGCUAGUUGGUGAGGUAACGGCCCACCAAGGCGACGAUGGGUAACCGGCCUGAGAGGGUGAACGGUCACAUUGGAACUGAGACACGGUCCAAACUCCUACGGGAGGCAGCAGUGGGGAAUAUUGCACAAUGGAGGGAACUCUGAUGCAGCGACGCCGCGUGAGCGAUGAAGGAAUUCGUUUCGUAAAGCUCUGUUCUAUGGGAAGAAAGGGACUGUACCAGAGGAGAAAGCCCCGGCUAAAUACGUG